rnacentral:rRNA from 1 species
AUUGAACGCUGGCGGCAGGCCUAACACAUGCAAGUCGAACGGUAACAGGAAGAAGCUUGCUUCUUUGCUGACGGGUGGCGGACGGGUGAGUAAUGUCUGGGAAACUGCCUGAUGGAGGGGGAUAACUACUGGAAACGGUAGCUAAUACCGCAUAACGUCGCAAGACCAAAGAGGGGGACCUUCGGGCCUCUUGCCAUCGGAUGUGCCCAGAUGGGAUUAGCUAGUAGGUGGGGUAACGGCUCACCUAGGCGACGAUCCCUAGCUGGUCUGAGAGGAUGACCAGCCACACUGGAACUGAGACACGGGCCAGACUCCUACGGGAGGCAGCAGUGGGGAAUAUUGCACAAUGGGCGCAAGCCUGAUGCAGCCAUGCCGCGUGUAUGAAGAAGGCCUUCGGGUUGUAAAGUACUUUCAGCGGGGAGGAAGGGAGUAAAGUUAAUACCUUUGCUCAUUGACGUUACCCGCAGAAGAAGCACCGGCUAACUCCGUG